rnacentral:rRNA from 1 species
CGAUAAGGGGACUCCGAGUGCGAGGGCAUAUAGUCCUCGCUUUUCACCACCGUAAGGUGGUGGUGGAAUAAGUGCUGGGCAAGACCGGUGCCAGCCGCCGCGGUAAUACCGGCAGCACGAGUGAUGACCGCUAUUAUUGGGCCUAAAGCGUCCGUAGCUGGCCGCGCAAGUCUAUCGGGAAAUCUGCUCGCCUAACGAGCAGGCGUCCGGUGGAAACUGUGUGGCUUGGGACCGGAAGACCAGAGGGGUACGUCUGGGGUAGGAGUGAAAUCCCGUAAUCCUGGACGGACCACCGGUGGCGAAAGCGCCUCUGGAGGACGGAUCCGACGGUGAGGGACGAAAGCUCGGGUCACGAACCGGAUUAGAUACCCGGGUAGUCCGAGCUGUAAACGAUGUCUGCUAGAUGUGCCACAGGCUACGAGCCUGUGGUGUGUCGUAGGGAAGCCGAGAAGCAGACCGCCUGGGAAGUACGUCCGCAAGGAUGAAACUUAAAGGAAUUGGCGGGGGAGCACUACAACCGGAGGAGCCUGCGGUUUAAUUGGACUCAACGCCGGACAUCUCACCAGCAUCGACAAUGUGCAGUGACGGUCAGUGUGAUGAGCUUACCUGAGCCAUUGAGAGGAGGUGCAUGGCCGCCGUCAGCUCGUACCGUGAGGCGUCCUGUUAAGUCAGGCAACGAGCGAGACCCGCACCCUUAAUUGCCAGCAGCACCCUUGUGGUGGCUGGGUACAUUAAGAGGACUGCCAGUGCCAAACUGGAGGAAGGAACGGGCAACGGUAGGUCAGUAUGCCCCGAAUGUGCUGGGCGACACGCGGGCUACAAUGGCCACGACAGUGGGAUGCAACGCCGAGAGGGGACGCUAAUCUCCGAAACGUGGUCGUAGUUCGGAUUGAGGGCUGAAACUCGCCCUCAUGAAGCUGGAUUCGGUAGUAAUCGCGCCUCAGAAGGGCGCGGUGAAUACGUCCCUGCUCCUUGCACACACCGCCCGUCAAAGCACCCGAGUGAGGUCCGGAUGAGGCCUGGAUUCCCAGGUCGAAUCUGGGCUUCGC